GGGAGUGUAGCUCAGUGGCUGAUCAUGUGCCAAGCAUGCUCAAGGCCCUGGGUUCAAACCCCAGCAACCUCC
rnacentral:tRNA from 1 species